CUCUCGCGACCAGUUUAAGUACUGCAUGUCAGAUCGAUAGAGGAAUCGAGUGCUGGAUUACAUAACUCAACCCAGUUAUAACAUGUUCUCGARCAGUAAAUAUAGAACUACUUUACUUCCAAUUCUAGUCUAAUCAACCUAAUUGCAACUCCAAUUGUAUGAGACUGGCAAGUCAUCAAACUUCCAAUCCAAGUYUGAGAAGUAAUGUGAUCCAAUCUGAGACUGGGAAAUUAUCAAAUGUCCAAUCUGAGUCUGAGAACUAAUAUCAUCCCAAGCUGAGAGUGGGACAUCAUCAAACUUSCAAUCYGAGUCUGAGAAGUAWYGUGAUCCCAAGCUGAGAGUKGCAAGUCAUCAAACUUCAAGUGCUAAUUGAAGAAAUACUCUGUUGACCUGAUGCURUUAACUACAUCAAGAAUGAGAAAUCUUCACUGUUGUCACUAACUGUUCUGUGUAUCAGUUGGAUGAAGCUAUUUCAUCUGCAACCAAGAAGCUUAAGAGCAACWGACAUCAUGUGACAAAUUCGCRCCUGUGCAACAAAGUACUGUGSUCAUCUCUCCAAAAACAAGCCAGGGAUCUUUUUUUCAAUGGUCAAUAGUCUUGACUCAACCCAGUGAAAUGUAAUUUAAUAGUAGGAAUUGAUAAAUGUGUUUUURUGUUCAGAAAAUAACUGUGUUAUCAUUGUYGAGUUCUCAAUGAAAUCUUAAUAGGGGUUGAUUAUGAUUUAUAAGACAGUAGAUGCUAAGAAUAUCACAUUACCAGUCAUUAUGUGCAAGUACUCAUGAAUAAGAUUGUAACUAAAGCAUAUGCAUUAGUAUAUAUUAUGAUAUUUUACCUUUGUUUUCUUUUGCUCACUUCUCAUUUAAAAGUUUAAUAAAAGUAUUUU